CUACUCUGCCAUCAGGCCAGUGAACCCCUUGAACAAGCUCAGCUUUUGCCAAAGUCGGGGAAGCCGUGGAAGGGCUUGGGACUGUCAUGGACUCCCAGAAACAAGGUGACAAUUGAGUAUUCUCACUAGAGCUCUCCGGCCUCUGUCCUGGAUCACAUCAAAAGGAAGGAGAGAGAUCUUUUGAAUGUGCAGAGAGAGGUUGGAGCCACACAGCUACAAGCCAACAAAUGCUUGAGGUCAGGUCCAGCUCCGACUCCUCGGGGUUGAAGAACAUGCCGGGCUUCUUGGUCAUCAUCUUGGUAUACACGGCCUCGUU